AGAACGAACGCUGGCGGCAGGCCUAAUACAUGCAAGUCGAACGCACUCUUCGGAGUGAGUGGCAGACGGGUGAGUAACGCGUGGGAACCUUCCCAAUGGUACGGAAUAACUCCGGGAAACCGGUGCUAAUACCGUAUAAGCCCCUCGGGGGAAAGAUUUAUCGCCAUUGGAUGGGCCCACGUCGGAUUAGCUAGUUGGUAAGGUAAUGGCUUACCAAGGCUACGAUCCGUAGCUGGUCUGAGAGGAUGAUCAGCCACACUGGGACUGAGACACGGCCCAGACUCCUACGGGAGGCAGCAGUAGGGAAUCUUGGACAAUGGGCGAAAGCCUGAUCCAGCCAUGCCGCGUGAGUGAAGAAGGCCUUAGGGUUGUAAAGCUCUUUUGGCGGGGACGAUAAUGACGGUACCCGCAGAAUAAGCCCGGCUAACUUCGUGCCAGCAGCCGC
rnacentral:rRNA from 1 species